ACGACUCUCGGCAACGGAUAUCUCGGCUCACGCAUCGAUGAAGAACGUAGCAAAAUGCGAUACUUGGUGUGAAUUGCAGAAUCCCGUGAACCAUCGAGUUUUUGAACGCAAGUUGCGCCCGAAGCCAUUUGGUUGAGGGCACGUCUGCAUGGGCGUCACGU
rnacentral:rRNA from 1 species